AGAUAACAACUCCGAAUGGUACCUUUCGAAAGGUACCCGGAAGGUUACGAGAACUGACCUUUAUGAUUUUAAAGUUUAAGGUGCGUCAUUUUUACACUUAAGGUGCGUCAGUUCUACACUUAAGAUGCGUCAUUUUAACACUUAAGGUACGCCAAUUCAACACUUAAGCUGCACCAAUUCAACA